GGCCCGGAGUUGGGCCGGGACGGGAUCCGGGAGGCUUCUGAGCCGGAGCAGGCAGCGCCUGGAGGCCAGAGGCCGUUCGCCCGCCUCAGGCCGGUCGGCCGCCGCUCCCCUCCCCUGCGCCCUGUUCCCGGCAGGGCCAGAGAGGCCGCCGCCUCCGCCCGGUGGUUCUCGGGCGAAGGGAAGCCGCGAAGCAGGUCCUGGGGAAGAGCUCGCCUGCUCCUGAGGGAAGCAGCGAUAAGAUGGCGCUUUGAAGGGGAGCCGAGGCCGAGUCACUCUGUUCGUCGGGACGCCGCCUUUCUAACGCCGCCGUCGGCUCGCACCACUCUGGGCCUGCUGCCCACACUGACUGCGGGGUCCGGGAGAGCGGGAUGCUGGCCGGCCGCGCCUGGCUUCUUGGAAAGAGCAGGAAGGAGCGCGAGAAUGCAGUUCCGCGGCAGGUGCUCAUCCCAGCAGCUUCGGGCUCUCGGUUGUGGUUUUUACACCUAUGACAAAUGACAUGGCCAAACACACCAUAAUGUCUGAAGGUACAGGUAGCCCUAAGCGCCUGCUCGUCACGGAAGAGACUGUCUUGAGAGCACAGAAACCUCUGUAGAGGAGCAGGAUGCAACCGACAGGCUGUGGCCGGACAGCUGCUGCCCAGCACAUGGAGCCUGCACGCGCACGGUUUGGCCAAAGAAGCCCCCAUACUCCCGGUGAAAAAGAUUUCCAGAAGCUGUUCUGUCAAUAACAAAGUCUCAAAGAAAACCACAAAACCACCAACACUAAGAUCAUUCUUGAGUCCAAUUUGAAAAACUAGGGUCAAGUUCUGCAGAGGCAUUGAAAGGACAAGAAACCACCCUGAUACCCAUCGUGUGAGGGAAAAUGCUCUAUUCACCAUUCCUCAGCUUCUGCUUCUGGUUUCAGAGUUCUCUCUAUAUUGGAGGGUGUUUUAAAGCUAGAGUGGUCUUUAUCCACUUUUAUUAACACAUCUGAAUGUGAAGGUCAAGAGAGGAAAGUGAUAUGUCCUAAGUCAGAGUAGAGUCAACAAGAAAAUAAGACAAACAGCGACUGAGCCCCUGGUGUAUACUGGGCAUUGGCCAGCUACUGGGGAUAUGGAGAUGAAGAAAACAUAACCCUUCUUCAAGGAGCCCAACCUACCAAGGUAGACAGACAUAUAGACAAAUAGAUACUUGCAUAGAAAAAAAGAGGAAAAGGGGAUCAGUGUGACCUGUGUAACUAAGUACCCUAUAAACCCUCCUGCAACAGAUCAUAUUGCCCUUUAUAGUGGGGAUGGUAAUCCCAUCUGAAUUCCACAGGUACUUUGCAGUCAUACCACACCCAUGUGUCUGUCGGUCCUGACUGUACCAUUUAUAAACAGCUUCACUUUCAGCAGUUCUCAGCCCUCUUAAGCUAGGGUCAUUGUCAGUAGGGAUACUGCUUCAUAAGCACCAGCAGAACACCAAAGGAGACCAUAUGGGUGAAAGCAACCAGCACUGCCCUGGCGCUUCAUAGGUUCUUAGAGUUUUUAUCUUUUACUUUCAGUCUAACACAGCACUGCCUGCUUUUUGUUUUUGUUGCUUGGUUUGUUUUUUUCUUACCGUGUUCACCAAACUUGUGUCCAAAUAGCUUUGGGCUGAUGCAAAAAUAUCUAUGUGGAAGAGAAGAGUUGUUCUCAUGGAGGGCCUUCAGAUGAGUGCUAUAGACUCUCUAGGCAACUCCAAGAGGCUUCUCAAGCAGGGUGGGCAGUGAGAGCUGCUAUGGAAUCAAUGGACAAACUGACAGGGACUGCUUUGAAAGACAGUACUCAGUUGAGUAUAUAUAUUCUCUCUUAAGGGCUAAAAGUUUAUAAUCAUCCCUUAAACACUCUGUGAUGGGAUCUUCAGGAUCAUCUUUUGAAGUAAACUAUAUUUUACAAUGUGAUAUAAA
rnacentral:lncRNA from 1 species